CCUACGGGAGGCAGCAGUGGGGAAUAUUGGACAAUGGGCGAAAGCCUGAUCCAGCAAUGCCGCGUGAGUGAUGAAGGCCUUAGGGUUGUAAAGCUCUUUUACCCGGGAUGAUAAUGACAGUACCGGGAGAAUAAGCUCCGGCUAACUCCGUGCCAGCAGCCGCGGUAAUACGGAGGGAGCUAGCGUUAUUCGGAAUUACUGGGCGUAAAGCGCACGUAGGCGGCUUUGUAAGUAAGAGGUGAAAGCCUGGUGCUCAACACCAGAACUGCCUUUUAGACUGCAUCGCUUGAAUCCAGGAGAGGUGAGUGGAAUUCCGAGUGUAGAGGUGAAAUUCGUAGAUAUUCGGAAGAACACCAGUGGCGAAGGCGGCUCACUGGACUGGUAUUGACGCUGAGGUGCGAAAGCGUGGGGAGCAAACAGGAUUAGAUACCUGUAGUCACGCCGUAACGAUGAUACUAGACUGUCGGUCGUCUACGUAGUCGUCGUCGGUCGGCGCGACGUACGUACGACUUAAGUUAAGUUACCGUCCGUCGGGUAGGGUACGGUACCGGCCGAACGGUUAAACGUUAACGUAACGUAAGUAAGUUAGUACGGUCGUGAGACGUAGCGACGACGACGACGACGGGAGGAGG
rnacentral:rRNA from 1 species